AAGUCUCUUCAGAAAUUCCAGCUCUUCAAAUCUGAGUCUUGAAGUUCCGGUGGCUAAUGUGCAUAGGCCAAGUAAGGAAGAAAAAUUCUCCACCUUUUCAACCUUCCUUUUCUUUUAUUUAGUGACAUACAGGACAGUUUGCCUUUACUUACUAAAGUCAUAAACAUUUGUACUAUGUUCUAAGACUUAUUUCCCAGCUUUGGUGUUACAGUAUUGCAAUAGUCUUAUACAGUUAUUACUUGUUAUUGUGACUAAUGUGCAUAGGCCAAGUAAGGAAGAAAAAUUCUCCACCUUUUCAACCUUCCUUUUCUUUUAUUUAGUGACAUACAGGACAGUUUGCCUUUACUUACUAAAGUCAUAAACAUUUGUACUAUGUUCUAAGACUUAUUUCCCAGCUUUGGUGUUACAGUAUUGCAAUAGUCUUAUACAGUUAUUACUUGUUAUGAAACGUUGCUAUAGGUUUCAUUUGGAUCUAAUGAUAUGAGAAG
rnacentral:lncRNA from 1 species